GCGCCCUUAGCUUAAUUGGAUAGAGCAACAGCCUUCUAAGCCGUAGGUUACAGGUUCAAAUCCUGUAGGGCGCA
rnacentral:tRNA from 1 species